GCGAGGGGUCCAGGGUGUGGGAAACGGGGAGGGAUUUGAGGAGGGGAUCGGAAUGUGGCUCCAGUUCGGGAGGCGUUACCUGCGGAGGGUUUGAGGAAGGCCCAGGAGCGAGCCCAUGGUCUUCCGACGCGGGGCCAGGGGCGGGCCCCAGGAUCCGGAGCUUCGGGGGGGCCGAGUCCGGGUUUGGGGCCCGGGAGGCGGGGCCAGUUAGGUCGAGGGUCCCUGGGAUCGUCGGGUCAGGCCUUGGGCUAACGUAGGCACUCUCGCAGUUCCUCCGCCUUCAGGAAGGUCUUUUUAGCAGGGGCCUUACGGGUGCAUGCUUCGGUCCUGGAGGACUUAGGCUAGCCUCCUCUCCAUCAGCGCCACCCGUCUGGGGCCCGAAAGGAGGGAGCUUUCCCUCUGUCCCCCAGCCUUUGGACUGUCACCAAACAAGCCAUUCGUUCACCAAAUACUUUUUAAGCGCCUACCAUGUGCCUGACAAGGGAUAUGUAACGGUGAGAAAAACUAGGUGUGGUCCAGGCCCUUCAGGGACUCAGGGGCUCGUGGAAGAAGUGGAUAUUGAAGUACUUAUCACACAAAGGAGGAUAAAAGUACGAUAGCGAUAUCUACCACGAAGCUGUUGUUCCACACCAGAACCAAAUGAGCGCAAGAUCUGACAAAAAAAAAAGGUUCAUCUUUUAUUCUUCCAAACACUUUCAUUUAAAUCAAGAGGAUGGGAUGUGGUUAUUACUGUGUUUUUAGACAAAAUCAAUGGUUUCUGGCUCUGAGAUGUUGCAUACACCCUCUCAGUCCCUGUAUCCUGAGAUGGAGUCACCUGAGAAUCCACAGCAAGUCCUAACCAGGGAUGGGUCUGGGUGAUUAAGGAAGAUUGGCUUCAGAACUGGGCCAGGGGCACUGCUUUGCUUUUGCUGUUUUGAUCAGCUCUCUGCCUGCAGGAGACGAGGAAAACCAAUGGGAACAGAAAUUGCCUGUCUGCUCCGCUCUGGUUGAAGAAACCAGUCCGACUGUCUCUGAGGCUAUGGAGCAGUCCAUGAAGAAUGAAAGCCCUCUGCCAGGCAUGUUGGCUCACACCUGUAAUACCAGCACUUUGGGAGGCCGAGGCAGGUGGAUCACUUGAAGUCAGGAGUUCGACACCAGCAUGGUCAACAUGGUGAAACCCUGUCUCUACAAAAAAUAGAAAAAUUAGCUGGGCCUGGUGAUGCGUGCCUGUAAUCCCAGCUACUCAGGAGGCUGAGGCAAGAGAGUCACUUGAACUUGGGAAGCAGAGGUUACAGUGGGGAGCUGAGAUCACACCACUGCAUUCCAGCCUGAGCGACAGAGCGAGACUCUCUCCAAAAAAAAAAAAAAAAAAAAAAAGAAAGAAUGAAUGUCCUCAUGAUGGCCUCAAGCACAUUGGUCCCUGAAGAGGGUCAAAGAAGGCCCACUUUACUCUGCACUGCAAAGCAGGCAGGUGGACAGGAUGAGAAGUGGAUUCAGUGAGAGGCAUUGACCCAGAGGAUUUUCUGCCUAAUGGUUCAGCAGAAGAUUAAACUGAGCACAGCAUCCUGUUCCCUGAAACCAUCUGAUAGGGUCUCUCUCUCUGCCACUCAGGCCAGAGUGCAGUUGACGCAGAGCAGGGGAGCCCUGAAAUGGAGCAUAGUGUGUCCGGAACUGGUGGGUUCUUGGUCUCACUGACUUCAAGAAUGAAGCUGCGGACCCUCGGGAUGAGUGUCACAGUUCUUAAAGGUGGCUUGUCUGGAGUUUGUUCCUUCUGAUGCUCUGAUGUGUUCAGAGUUUCUUCUUUCUGGUGGGUUUGUGGUCUCACUGGCUUCAGGAGUGAAGCUGCAGACCUUCAAGGUGAGUGUUACAGCUCUUAAGGCGGUGCGUCUGGAGUUGUUUGUUCCUCCCGGUGGGUUCAUAGUCUCGCUGGCUUCAGGAGUGAAGCUGCAGACCUUCGAGGUGAGUGUUACAGCUC
rnacentral:lncRNA from 1 species